GUGGGGAAUUUUGGACAAUGGGCGAAAGCCUGAUCCAGCCAUGCCGCGUGCAGGAUGAAGGCCUAUGGGUUGUAAACUUCUUUUCUCAGAAAAGAAUUAUGACGGUAUCUGAGGAAUAAGCAUCGGCUAACUCUGUGCCAGCAGCCGCGGUAAGACAGAGGAUGCAAGCGUUAUCCGGAAUGAUUGGGCGUAAAGCGUCUGUAGGUUGUUUAAAAAGUAUUCUGUCAAAGAUUAGGGCUUAACCCUAGAUAGGCAGAAUAAACUUUUAAGCUAGAGUUUGGUAGAGGCAGAGGGAAUUCCCGGUGGAGCGGUGAAAUGCGUAGAUAUCGGGAGGAACACCAAAGGCGAAGGCACUCUGCUGGGCCAAUACUAACACUGAGAGACGAAAGCGAGGGGAGCAAAUGGGAUUAGAAACCCCGGUAGUCC
rnacentral:rRNA from 1 species